GCUUUUGCCUAUUAGCUAUUAAUAAAGCUGAUGCAAAGCGUCAGGCAGGAUGUAGAACUCUGACGAGACAGGUCCAAUGUGGCAAUGGUAGAGAGAUAAAAACAGAGACUGAGCAAUGCAGAUGGCAAUGAAGUAGGACACCAGGUAGAAAAUGAAAAUUGUCGAUGCAGAUGCUACCAAGUCACACAAAAAGAAUGGCGCCCAGAACAACAGUACCAAACUGAAGAAGUUGAGUAGGACGACAAUAGAGUAGGGACUGAACGGGUCCGGGCGGCACGGGAAUAGAAGUGAGAGCCGCUUAGCGACAGCUGCAUCAGUGAAAGCUGGUCCAGCACAACUUCAGGAAAUAUUGAAACUUAAGGCAUGAGAAAAAC